rnacentral:lncRNA from 1 species
UAUUUGUUUUUCGUAAACUGCUUUGUUAUAAAUUAGGCCGUUAGUUUUCUCAAUUGAAAUGUUUUAUAUUUUCCAUGUCGGGACCUCUAAUAGCAGACUAUACGGUAUGGGUUUUUCUCAUUGUUGAAAGCCGUAAGGUUGACUAUAUUUGCUUACAUUUACUUCAUUUGUACUUUCAAGUGGAUAGUUGUCUCACUGGCAAUUAUAAUCUUUUAAUUAACACUAAUAACGAAUAG